CACGUAGGGCGCAAGCGUUGUCCGGAAUUAUUGGGCGUAAAGAGCUCGUAGGCGGUCCGUCACGUCCGCUGUGAAAACCAGGGCUCAACCCUGGGCUUGCAGUGGAUACGGGCAGACUAGAGGUAGGUAGGGAGAAUGGAAUUCCGGUGUAGCGGUGAAAUGCGCAGAUAUCGGAGGAACACCGGUGGCGAAGGCGGUUCUCUGGGCAACAACUGACGCUGAGGAGCGAAAGCGUGGGGAGCGAACAGG
rnacentral:rRNA from 1 species